GAUGAACGCUGGCGGCGUGCCUAAUACAUGCAAGUCGAGCGAACGGACGAGAAGCUUGCUUCUCUGAUGUUAGCGGCGGACGGGUGAGUAACACGUGGAUAACCUACCUAUAAGACUGGGAUAACUUCGGGAAACCGUAGCUAAUACCGGAUAAUAUUUUGAACCGCAUGGUUCAAAAGUGAAAGACGGUCUUGCUGUCACUUCUAGAUGGAUCCGCGCUGCAUUAGCUAGUUGGUAAGGUAACGGCUUACCAAGGCAACGAUGCAUAGCCGACCUGAGAGGGUGAUCGGCCACACGGGAACUGAGACACGGUCCAGACUCCUACGGGAGGCAGCAGUAGGGAAUCUUCCGCAAUAGGCGAAAGCCUGACGGAGCAACGCCGCGUGAGUGAUGAAGGUCUUCGGAUCGUAAAACUCUGUUAUUAGGGAAGAACAUAUGUGUAAGUAACUGUGCACAUCUUGACGGUACCUAAUCAGAAAGCCACGGCUAACUACGUG
rnacentral:rRNA from 1 species